rnacentral:rRNA from 1 species
GUCUAUGGCCAUGCCACUCUGAACAAGCCCGAUGUCUGAUCUCGGAAGCUAAGCAGGGUCUGGCCUGGUUAGUAUUUGGAUGGGAGACCACCUACGAAUACCAGGAGCUAUAGGCA